CUUCGAGACUCUCCUUCCCUAUUCGUCUCCCCUCCCCCAGCGCAGGAAAAAGGCUACGGUUCCGGAGCGCCCUGACCGCCUCCUCCCGGGCCGGCGAACCUGCUGGAACCCCGCUGGAGAGAUCAGGCGGGGGUUCGCACCCCACCCCAGCGAGAGCGCCCCGAAACCGACCCGGGCCAGGGCUCUGCUGGGGCUAGGCUCCGGGGAGCUCUCCCAAGGCAGGCGGCAGCUCCUGCUUCCGAGGCUUCGGGUGGGGUCCACCUCCCUCAGCCAGGAAGGGGGCGAUUGAUCCAUCUGUCGAUGGGCUGGGCUCACCGGCGUGUUUUAGUCACGGAAUUUACAAUAAAUGCCCAGAAGCACCAAAAAGGAAGCGUCCGACUGAGAAAGGGCUGAAAGAGCAACAGUGUGAGGAAACCAUGAGAACUGGAAUUUCUUCUCCUUCCUGUGGGUUUGUUUGACCGACUCCUCAGAGUGCAAGUCUACAUCCUAGGAAGGAUCCCACCCAGAGGGCGCGGCUGAUGGUGCCCGGCUCGCGGUGGGCUUUCCCAGCCCUGCUCCAGCCUGUCUCCCUCCUAAUGGCAGGCUGACCCCAUCACCAACACUCGAGAAUCAGCAGAGGUUCCCAGCUACCAGGGCCUGAUGAAUGAGUAAGAUCCUAAAUGAAAGCCAGGCUUCUCCAAGCCCUGCCAGCUGUUCCUGCCCUGCUCACCCCCCAGCGUGAUCCGCACACCCACGCCCGUGCACACGUGAGGCAGCUCCCGGACUACACUCAGAGGACCCUGCCCCAUCUAACAGGACACGUCAUCCAGCACAAGGACGCCCACAGUCAACAUCCCUGAUUCUUCUGCAUCUUUUCUUCUUUUUGCCUUAUUCAGAAUCACUGUCUUUUCUCUCCAGUACCUCCACCCCUCCCAGGGAGGUAAUAGAUGUCUUCAUAGCUCUGUCAUUGUGACUGUGGCUGAGUAGCCAUAUGAUCACCAGGAGAGGGGAGCCAGACGCACAGGAAGGUGCCAGGUGGGCUCUGACCCACACUGCAAACGCACUUCCAUCUGUCGGCCACGGCCCUCCCUGCCUUGGGAGUCGGUGGAGCGUUGAC
rnacentral:lncRNA from 1 species